rnacentral:rRNA from 1 species
GACGAACGCUGGCGGCGUGCCUAAUACAUGCAAGUAGAACGCACAGUUUAUACCUUCGCUUGCUACACCAUAAACUGUGAGUUGCGAACGGGUGAGUAACGCGUAGGUAACCUGCCUGGUAGCGGGGGAUAACUAUUGGAAACGAUAGCUAAUACCGCAUAAUAUUGAUUAUUGCAUGAUAAUUGAUUGAAAGAUGCUAUUGCAUCACUACCAGAUGGACCUGCGUUGUAUUAGCUAGUAGGUGAGGUAACGGCUCACCUAGGCGACGAUACAUAGCCGACCUGAGAGGGUGAGCGGCCACACUGGGACUGAGACACGGCCCAGACGCCUACGGGAGGCAGCAGGAGGGAAGCUUCGGCAAGGGACGAAAGUCUGAGCGAGCAACGCCGCGGGAGUGAAGAAGGUUGUCGGAUCGUAAAGCUCUGUUGUAAGAGAAGAACGGGUGUGAGAGUGGAAAGUUCACACUGUGACGGUAUCUUACCAGAAAGGGACGGCUAACUACGUG